UACGAGGGGGGCGAGCGUUGUUCGGAAUUAUUGGGCGUAAAGGGUGCGUAGGCGGUUCGGUAAGUUUCGUGUGAAAUCUUCGGGCUCAACUCGAAGCCUGCACGAGAUACUGCCGGGCUUGAGUGUGGGAGAGGAGACUGGAAUUUACGGUGUAGCGGUGAAAUGCGUAGAUAUCGUAAGGAAGACCAGUGGCGAAGGCGGGUCUCUGGACAGUUCCUGACGCUGAGGCACGAAGGCCAGGGGAGCAAACGGG
rnacentral:rRNA from 1 species